AGGAUGCUCAUAAAGACGAAACAUCUUUAAGUUGUCAGGAAGAGCUGAUGGAUCUACAGCUCAAGCUUUCACCACAGCUCUGUCACACUCUUCAGUGAAGCAUGUAGGAGAUGGAGAGGCUUCCUUGAGUCUCCAGAAAGGAACUGACAUGUGGAACUAAUAAUCAGUUGAAACUUGAGGGUUUUGUAUCACAUGACUUGUGAACUGAAGGAGAGCUGAAGAACACGCCAGUCCAAAUUUCAGUACAUCAUACUGUGUGUUUGUGAACAUGGACAGCUGACAAUCUACUGGCAUUUAUUUCUGUAUUUGUCAAGAUAAUUUAAAAUUAAUGUAAUAAACAUGCACUUGCGAAGGAAACACUUCAGAAGUCUUCUGGUAAUGACUUCAUGAAACUUAUGGCCUGAA